ACCUGGCUCGAUCAGUUGGUAGAGCAUGUGGCUCUUGACCUCAGAGCUGUGAGUUCAAGCUCAUGUUGGGUG
rnacentral:tRNA from 1 species